rnacentral:rRNA from 1 species
GAUGAACGCUGGCGGCGUGCCUAAUACAUGCAAGUCGAGCGAACGGACGAGAAGCUUGCUUCUCUGAUGUUAGCGGCGGACGGGUGAGUAACACGUGGAUAACCUACCUAUAAGACUGGGAUAACUUCGGGAAACCGGAGCUAAUACCGGAUAAUAUUUUGAACCGCAUGGUUCAAUGUGAAAGACGGUCUUGCUGUCACUUAUUGAUGGAUCCGCGCUGCAUUAGCUAGUUGGUAAGGUAACGGCUUACCAAGGCAACGAUGCAUAGCCGACCUGAGAGGGUGAUCGGCCACACUGGAACUGAGACACGGUCCAGACUCCUACGGGAGGCAGCAGUAGGGAAUCUUCCGCAAUGGGCGAAAGCCUGACGGAGCAACGCCGCGUGAGUGAUGAAGGUCUUCGGAUCGUAAAACUCUGUUAUUAGGGAAGAACAUAUGUGUAAGUAACUGUGCACAUCUUGACGGUACCUAAUCAGAAAGCCACGGCUAACUACGUG